GUAAGGUGUGUGUAUGUGCCAUACACUGGUAAAUGUGUGGCUGUACUUUAUAUUAAGGGAUUAGUUCUUCCUAAAAUGAAAGUACUGUCAUCAUUAACUCACCUUUUUAUCUAUCAUAUGGCUUCGGAAGAUUUGUAAUAUAUGCAUGCAUCACUUUUUUUCUUUUUUUUUCUUUCUGUUGUUGCUUAAGAAUUGAAAAUUCCCUUUUUAUGCAAAACAAUGGCUCAGAUGUUCUGCACAUUUUGUGAUUUCCUUUUCUGAUCCAAAUGAGAAGGUUUUAACAGUUUUAAGAAUUAGAGUAGUGAGUAGUAGUGAGAUGUAGUGAAAUGUUGUGCACUGUGUAAGUGAAAUCAUGUGUAAUUGUGCUUAUUUUUCUACAGGUUCUCUACCUUUAUGGUGUUUUUUUCCCCAUUGGUAUUUGGUAUUUAAAACCACUGUCCACUUUCUUUGUUUUUAAGUAAUAAAGGCCUCGUGUAGCAAAUGAUGAAUUUUUGUAAGAAAAAUAUCCAUAUUUAACGUGUCAUAUGUGUAAGCCGUUCCAGGUGGAUCACUUAGGACAUAUGCGUUGCGCUUGCACCACUGAUCUCACGAAAACCAACGUUUGUUUACAGGAGCAAAGGAAGCAGUGUUUUCUUACUUUAGCAAAAGGAAAACCAGUCUCUUCUUGGCUUAUAUUGAAAUCAUCCGUGCUCUGUGCUCCUCUGCGUUUGUCAUUUCACAACGCAAGCACACUACGUCAUCCGCCCGGAACGGCUUCCAUGUACGACAGUUAGUGCAAGCUAGAGAAAAGUUAUUAUUACGUUUUAAAUAUGGAUAUUUUCUUACAAAGACACAUCGAUUCAUUAAAGGAGGCCUUUAUUCACCCCCUGGAGCCAUGUGGAGCACUUUUUAUUAAGACGAAUGUCAUGUACACCUAGGAUACCUUGAGGGUUCACUACUUACUGAUCCCUGACGUUUAAAAUCACCAUCCACUUUCGUUUUAUGUAAAACAGCUGCUCAGACGUUCUGGAAAAUUUGUCCUUGUGUUCCACAAUAGGAAAAAAAGCCAUACAGAUUUGGAAUGACAUAAAGGUUCACACACACACGCACCAGGAGGGAUCUGAAGCCCACGUGACACAGACACCUCAACCGAAUGUAAAACAAACACACUCGAUUUCACUCUUCAAAAAGACGUUCACCACCUUCAAAGCCUUACGACGAAAGCGGAGCGGAACGCUCCAAAACACAGGCAACAAACAACUCGUUUAUACAUUCUCCUAAUUCCUCUCCGACGGGCCUCGAUGUCUUUCUUCAGCAACAGACUGUUGGGGAUCACGGCUUCAACGUUGCGGUUUUAAGAUUCCGCCGUCUCCCCUCCCCGCUCCUCUCCGUAUCUCUGUGAUAAACGCCGGAGCAAAUUCAAAGCCAAACAAACACGGAUUCAAAGAAAGAUUUUCGUGGCAACUUAAGGAAAGCGUGCGUUCGUGAAAACGUGUCGCCGGGGAGUUUGUUCAGUCGGUGCUCGCUCAGAUAGACCCUGGCUGCUCAUCCUGAGCAGGGAAGUGCAUUUGCUUGAUUAUCAUUAAAAAAAGAGAGAUGAUGUCUUCAGAAGUCAGCGGGGAUAUUUAUCAGACUCGCAGUUGGAGACGUGAUGGCGUGUCUCUUCUAAUAGAACAGCCUCAAGGCUCUGGGCCUGUGUGCGCAGGUUAUGAUCCCAUGAGAAGUGAAUAAGUAAAGCGCUGACUGAUCACAUGUAUUUACUUCAUGCUUGCCUUUUGUCCCGUAAUGAAUAUCAAUGAAUGAAACGGCGAAUGUGGACGGGUAACGUAUGCUAUUAGAUGGCAUACUUAUUCAGAUGAACAUUACUGCAACGUAAAGUGCUGUAGACUAGUAUGUGACACAACAGAGACGGCGUUUAACGUUUCACUUGGUUCAUACCAAAAUAAAAUACUACAUUCAUAAUGAAUUACUGCAGGAUCUCUUUCAGCCAGCUUUGCUGGUCUUAGCUGGCUUAAACUGGUUUUACAGCCUGCAGUAAAACCAGUCAACAGACCAGGCUGGUUUAAACAGUUUAU